rnacentral:rRNA from 1 species
CGUCGAAUGGCGAACGGGUGAGUAACACGUGGGUGAUCUGCCUUGCACUUCGGGAUAAGCUUGGGAAACUGGGUCUAAUACCGGAUAGGACAGCUGUUUAGUGUCAGUUGUGGAAAGUUUUUUCGGUGCAAGAUGAGCUCGCGGCCUAUCAGCUCGUUGGUGGGGUAAUGGCCUACCAAGGCGUCGACGGGUAGCCGGCCUGAGAGGGUGGACGGCCACAUUGGGACUGAGAUACGGCCCAG